UGGCAGUGUCUCUGAAUCUAGAUAGGUUGAUGCUGUGAUGGCAGAUAGCCAUUGCUGUGUGUUUUAAAGUUUGAUUUCAUUUGCGAGAAUUUUCUCUCUUCUGGGUAACACCUCGGGAUCACCCUCCCUUUAUGAUAAAGCACUUUAUUAGUUAUGUAAAUUGUUCAGUCACUUGAGGAAACUGAUUAAUUUAAUUUUAAUAAUGGUAAUGAUGGUGUUCAAAAUUCUUUUGACAGGCAGAAACUCAACCAUGAAUAUUCUCAGCAGUUCCUGACAUUGUUUCAGCAGUGGGAUCUGGAUAUUAAGAAAACUGAGGAAGAGGAAGCAAAAUUAGCUAAUAUAUUUCAACAACAACUAGAGAUUUUUCAACAAGCCAGAAUGAUUCGGAGCCAGAGACUGAAUGCGAUUAAACACCUAUAUGAACAGUUCUCAAAGAAUUUGGAAGACUUGGAAAAGAACCAAGCAAGCUUUUUUAUAGUUGCACAAGAGGAACUACAAGAAUAAAAGGCCAUGUAACCAAAGAAUAUUAUGAUAGACAUUGUAAGUAAUGUGGUAUAUUGUCAACUGAAAAAAUUAAGAUGAACUCAUUAUAUAUUUCUUUCAUCAAAUAAAAGAGUAUAUUAAAAUCACUUUUAAUGUAUUAAACAUUUCCUUUUGUAUCUCCUUUUCUGUAACAACAACAGCAAGUAUUGGCAAAGAAUUCAAAAAAUAUUUUUAAUGCAUGUUGUUCUUACGGCUCUUUGAAGAAAGAAUGUGGACCUCAGAAAUAUGGUACAGUUACAACCAUGAGCUAAAGGAAAUGCAGAUAUUUACUGUGACUUAAGAAAGAUGGUUUAAAAGAUUAUUUGUUGUUACAUGGCUUGUUUAUCAUUGCAAGAUCUUCUGUGUUAUAUUGACUGAAAAUGCCUCGAGGAGUAAUAAUAAAUAAUAAAUUAAAAUAUACACCCUUAAUUCCUUUUCAGGUCCUUUGGGAUUAGUGAAUUUUUCCUUACUGUUAUCGGUUAAAAACUCAUGGUUCCCAAUAAUAAAGAUUUAACUGAAUUUCA